rnacentral:rRNA from 1 species
GGAGGAUGCAAGCGUUAUCCGGAUUUAUUGGGGUUUAAAGGGGUGCGUAGGCGGACUCAUAAGUCAGUGGUGAAAUCCCAUCGCUUAACGAUGGGAACUGCCAUUGAAACUGUGAGUCUUGAGACAAGUUGAGGUAAGCGGAAUGUGUGGUGUAGCGGUGAAAUGCAUAGAUAUCACACAGAACACCAAUUGUGAAGACAGCUUACCAAGUUUGUUCUGACGCUGAGGCACGAAAGCGUGGAUAGCGAACAGGAUUAGAUACCCUGGUAGUCCACGCCGUAAACGAUGUUCACUAGUUGUUGGCGAGAGGAAACAGUCAGCGACUGAGCGAAAGCAUUAAGUGAACCACCUGGGGAGUACGAUCGCAAGGUUG